UAAAUCUAGUCUAGACUCCCCCCCCCCCACAAAAAAAUGAAAGAAAAAGAAAUGUGAAGAAGCUGUACUAGCUGUAGAUCUAUUUGAAAAGCUCCUUCCUCUUUCCUCUCCAGAGCCCCCAAAAGAGGAGCAAAAAGAAGUGACUCCUGCUGACGUUGCCGUUGACCAGCCUCCAAAAGAGGAGCAAAAAGAAGUGACUCCUGCUGACGUUGCCGUUGACGAGCCUCCAAAAGAGGAGCAAAAAGAAGUGACUCCUGCUGACGUUGCCGUUGACCGUAAGUAGUAGUCUGUUGAUGGGUGGUCUGGUGGGUGGUCUGGUGUGGUUUCUUCCUUCUUUCCUAGCAAACAUCUAGGAUCUAGAA